UUAAUAAGCGGAGGAAAAGAAACUAACAAGGAUUCCCUCAGUAACGGCGAGUGAAGCGGGAAGAGCUCAAAUUUGAAAUCUCCGAUGCUUGCAUCGGCGAGUUGUAGUUGCGAGAAGCACUUUCUAGGCGGAUCGACGGUGCCUAAGUUGCUUGGAACGGCACGUCGCAGAGGGUGACAACCCCGUCUGUGGCGCCGCCGGCCGCCGACGAUGUGCUUUCGAAGAGUCGGGUUGUUUGGGAAUGCAGCCCAAAACGGGUGGUAAACUCCAUCUAAAGCUAAAUACUGGCGUGAGACCGAUAGCGA
rnacentral:rRNA from 2 species